rnacentral:lncRNA from 1 species
UAUAAUAAUGCUUGUAAAAUGUUAAACAGGAGCACCAGCAUCCACAGCUGCCUGAGGAGAAACAUCAGCAGAAAGCAAAACAAUUAAUGUAAGUAAAGUCUCUCAUUAGCACAGAAAGACACUGAAGUAAUGUUUAAUGUAAAAAUAGAGGUGAUUUUAUACUAAUGCCUGUAAAAUGUUGGACUGGAACAACGGCAUCUACUGAUGGAGGAGGAUGAUGAAGAUGGAGGACAGGAGCACCAGCAUCCACAGCAUCCUGAGGAAACAUCAACAGGGGACAGAAAGACUUCUAUUCACCAAAACAAUACAGGAGUGCCAGCAUCCACUGAUGGAGGAGGAGGAUGAAGAAGAUGGAGGACAUUAGCACCAGCAUCCACAGCUGCCUGAGGAGGAAACAUCAACAGAAAGCAAAACAAUUAAUGUAAGUAAAGCCUCUCAUUGGCACAGAAAGACACUGAACUAAUGUUUAAUGUAAAAAUAGAGGUGACUUUAUACUAAUGCCUGUAAAAUGUUGGACUGGAACAACGGCAUCUACUGAUGGAGGAGGAGGAUGAAGAUGGAGGAUAGGAGCACCAGCAUCCACAGCAUCCUGAGGAGGAAACAUCAACAGAGGACAGAGACUUCUAUUCACCAAAACAAUGCAGGAGCGCCAGCAUCCACUGAUGGAGGAGGAUGAAACAUCACCAGAGGACAGAAAGACUUCUAUUCACCAAAACAAUCAAUAGUUUUGCUUCAGAGGAGAAUCAGACAGUUCCAGAUGUUCGUCACCAGCACUGCAGUGUUUACACAGACUGCUUUGGUUUCAACUUUCUACAAAAAACUUUUGAAUUUUCAACUCACUUUCCAUCAGAAUCCAAGCUCAUCUUCAUCACUGGGAUGUUUCUUCAUCAGUUCUUCAUACAGACUGACACAGUUCACACAUGGAGAAGAUGAUUUAUGGAAUAUGACAUUUAGACUUUUCCUUUUCUCAACAGUAUGAUGCAUACAUCCCAACCCAAAUUUAAUGCAUUUUUUUGGCUUAACUUGAGACAAUUUCUAUCAAUAAAUUGCUAAUGUAUUAUUAUUGACUAUUAAUA